CUUGUUAAUCUUUUUUUUUUCAGGAAAGUGUCUCAGGUAAGAAAAUAUGAGGAUUGAGAAAAUAAAUCAUAUUUUCUUUCCUUCAAUUUGACAACCACAAAGGCACACUUUGCUCACACUAGGGCCAAUGGAUGGAGCUCUGAGAGAUCUGAAAGAAACCAGCAGAAAAGGCUCUUUGCAGAUCCUAAAGUGUUAUGUCUUCAAGAAGGUUCAUAGAAAGGACUGAAAGAAGUACUCUUGAAUACAGGUUCCUGACAACUUUGAGACCAUAUUAUUGGAGUCAUUAAAAAUUUCCAGAAUGCUAAUGAAAAAAAAACUGGACUCAUAAAAUUAGUAACCCCAAAUCAAGCAAAACAAGAAUUACACGAAACUAAACCAAGGAAGGACUAAAAUGAUUUUUUGCAACAUUUUUUGUUUAAAGCAUUGCUGAUUCUUUUUAUGUUUUCUUUCCAUAGUUGAGAAAACUUUUUUUCCCUCUUAAGUAAUCUACAGCUUUACAGUAAUUUUGUAAAGUAUAUUUUUGUGCACAAAUAUUGAAACAUUUAUCUUUUUCUUUACCUGAGCCCUCCAGGAUUUAGAAACUGUAUGUGAGAAAUUCUAUUUUUAUGGCAAGAUAGUUAUUUGCAUAAGUUCACUAGGAAUCUGCUCUCUUCGGACUGGAAAAAUUGGAAACACAGGUUAUAUCAUCAAGGCUAUGACUGGGACGUCAUUUUUUCAGAUGUGACCAGACUGCUUAAAGGAAUGAACGUUAACUUUAAGGAGCCAAUAAAACCCUUGAAAGAACUGGCCUGGCACUUUGUUCCUGAACUAUGCGGUGCCCUUCCAGCACUUCUAGCCUUGCAGUAAGUAAAUAAUGUCAUUUUCUGACAAGCCCAGGAACCUCAAAACAUUUUGGAGACCUCAAGAAAAAAAUUUACCCAGGUAUCUCAGAUAAAAUCUGUUGGUAAGUCUGUGGC
rnacentral:lncRNA from 1 species